rnacentral:rRNA from 1 species
UACGUAGGGUGCGAGCGUUGUCCGGAAUUACUGGACGUAAAGAGCUCGUAGGUGGUUUGUCGCGUUGUUCGUGAAAACCGGGGGCUUAACCCUCGGCGGGCGGGCGAUACGGGCAGACUGGAGUACUGCAGGGGAGACUGGAAUUCCUGGUGUAGCGGUGGAAUGCGCAGAUAUCAGGAGGAACACCGGUGGCGAAGGCGGGUCUCUGGGCAGUAACUGACGCUGAGGAGCGAAAGCGUGGGGAGCGAACAGG